rnacentral:rRNA from 1 species
CCUACGGGUGGCAGCAGUGAGGAAUAUUGGUCAAUGGGCGCGAGCCUGAACCAGCCAAGUAGCGUGAAGGAUGACUGCCCUACGGGUUGUAAACUUCUUUUAUAAAGGAAUAAACUGAGGCACGUGUGCCCUUUUGUAUGUACUUUAUGAAUAAGGAUCGGCUAACUCCGUGCCAGCAGCCGCAGUAAUACGGAGGAUCCGAGCGUUAUCCGGAUUUAUUGUGUUUAAAGGGAGCGUAGAUGGGUUGUUAAGUCAGUUGUGAAAGUUUGCGGCUCAACCGGAAAAUUGCAAUUGAUACUGGCAGGCUUGAGUACAGUUGAGGUAGGCGGAAUUCGUGGUGUAGCGGUGAAAUGCUUAGAUAUCACGAAGAACUCCGAUUGCGAAGGCAGCCUACUAAACUGCCACUGACAUUGAUGCUCGAAAGUGUGGGUAUCAAACAGGAUUAGAUACCCGAGUAGUC